UGUGGCUACUGACAUUAAGAAGGGUC
rnacentral:piRNA from 1 species